CGAUUUUGGUUCUUGUUUACUUCUUCGAACACAUAGAAAAAAAUCAUCCCUCCAACCACCGUCAUCUCCAUCGCUCCCACCACCAUUACCAUCCCAAUCACCUCCACUGCAACCAACAUCACCACCUUCGUCACGCCCGCCACUACUAUCAGAUAGUGAAUAAUAAUUUUUCGAUUUCAAAUCGAUUUCUGAUGAUUGCCGAAGGAGAUGGUGCAGUGGUGGUGGAGAAGGAUUAUUUGAAACUGUGGAGAUAUCGAAUGUAACAGCAAAUAAAAAUUAAUUUAGGGUUCCUCAAAUUUAAAUUCAAUCCCUCAGGUUUUAUUGAAGCUCAAAGAGUAAUGAUGAUGAUGUGGUGGUAGUGGUAGUGGUCGCGGUAAUGGAGGAGUGGAAGUACUGCUGGUGGUUGUUGUGAAGGUGUUGGUGGAUAAUUUUAGUGGAAGUGCUGAUGGUGGUUGUUGUGAAGGUGUUGUUGUGGAGGCCAAAGCACAACUAGUUGGAAUUCGUGAACGUAAACAAUGAUGGUGACGGACUCCAUCCCCCUAUAUCAUCUCAAAGAGACUCCACAAGUGUAGUUCAUGCGGAAGGCAAACGUGUGGUUACUGCAACCAAUCCAGAUGCCAAGGAUGCGGCAGAUAUAUUGAAGUACUUGUGUGUUCUUGUGAGAUGAGUUGGUUGCACAGUUGUUGGUUUUUAAACCUGUAUUAUCCAUCUUUUGAAAAUCUAUUCAAGUUACUGCAUCUCAACUUAUAAUUUCUAGGGAUUUUAGGUUACGAAGGAAAUGAUUUUAGGUUGUUUGUUGGUUGACAUGUUUGGUCGUUCUAUUGAUGAAUCUGAGGUGCAAUGGUAGCACAACUGACUAUAUGUCAGAAGAUGUUUAUUCGACUCAAGCCAGAGACUUUUCCAGCUGCAUUUGUAGUUGUUCCUAGUAAAGAUGGUGAUAAUUGACGUUGGUUUCUGAAUAUUUCGAAUGGAAUUCUCAAUAUUUUGAAUAGAAUUCUCAAUGUUUGGAGACCAAAUGUUGUUUGAUACCGCAGUUACCGUGAAGGGGUUCGCAAGAAUAGGAAGUGUGGUCGAUGUGAAUGCUUGCACAUCACAAUCAUCAAACAUGUCAGAGACCUCCAUUGGCUUCUCGUGCACUAACAUUCCGAAGGCGGGUGCAAACUUCAAAUAUCUGGAGGACUAUUUUCCGAAGCUUUUUAUGCUUCUGUCCGUCUUUGUUUUGAUUUUUUUUUCAGUCUUUUUUUUCCGAACUAGUGUGUUGCACUUGUUCUAAACAAUUUUGUUCCAGGUUUUUAUGAAUUGAAUUUUCUUUUUUGUUUUUGUUUUAUUGUUUUUCCAUGUAAGAUUGUCUAUUACAUCCUCUAUUAUUUUUUUGGUA